GAGCCUGAACUAGAUCAGAAUGUGAGAGUAACACAGACACCCCUCCAGCAGGGGCUCUUUUUUGCCAAUAUGUCUCUUCAAGUUACUGCUGCUGCUCUAAAUGUUAAGUUUGCAAAGGGGCCAUAGGUUUGUGGUGGCAGAUCAAGCAAACAGUGGUUGCAGCAGUUGGACCAAGUCCAGGAAGAUAGGAAGCAACUGGAAAGGAAAGGAGAAGAAUUCCUGGAUGAAAGGAGCUUGAGUGUUUGCGGGGGAGAGAGGAUCUUGGAAGGAUGUCACGAGGACACAAGAACAAUUGUACUGGGUCAAAGAUACACCCAGUCCUGUAUCCUGUCUCUGACAGUGGCCAACACUAUCUCAGAAGAAAAGCAGCAAGAGCAGUUCCAGGAAAGCUGAUCUCUCCUGAAGUGUACCAGAAUUCCUGGAUGUCGCUGAGUGCAGAAGCCAGCAGAUGUCAAGAAGAAAGAAUAGCUUCAAGCCUUUAUGAAAAGGUCUGGACGCUAGCAGUGAUGGGAGCCAGACAAAAAAAAAAAAUAAAAAAAAAA